rnacentral:pre_miRNA from 1 species
CAACUACUCCCUCUGUCCCAAAUUUCUUGUAUUAGAUUUGUCUAGAUACGGAUGUAUCUAAUACUAAAAUGUGACUUGAUACAUCCGUAUCUAGAAAAAUCUAAGACAAGAAUUUUGGGACGGAGGGAGUACUUU